GCUGGGCGUGGUGGCACACGCCUGUAAUCCCAGCUACUAAGGAGGCUGAGGUAUAAGAAUCACUUGCACCUAGGAGGCAGGGGUUGCAGUGAGCCAAGAUCAUGCCACUGCAAUCCAGCCUGGGCAACAGAGUGAGACUCUGUCUCAA
ensembl:misc_RNA Metazoa_SRP Metazoan signal recognition particle RNA